rnacentral:rRNA from 1 species
ACGAACGCUGGCGGCGUGCUUAACACAUGCAAGUCGAACGGUGAAGCGCCUUCCUUUUUGGUGGGUGUGGAUGAGUGGCGAACGGGUGAGUAACACGUGAGUAACCUGCCCCCUUCUUCUGGAUAACCGCAUGAAAGUGUGGCUAAUACGGGAUAUUCUGGGUCUGUCGCAUGAUGGGUCUGGGAAAGAUAUUGUUUCGGUGGGGGAUGGGCUCGCGGCCUAUCAGCUUGUUGGUGGGGUGAUGGCCAACCAAGGCGGUGACGGGUAGCCGGCCUGAGAGGGUGGACGGUCACACUGGGACUGAGACACGGCCCAGACUCCUACGGGAGGCAGCAGUGGGGAAUAUUGCACAAUGGGCGCAAGCCUGAUGCAGCGACGCCGCGUGAGGGAUGGAGGCCUUCGGGUUGUGAACCUCUUUCGCCAGUGAAGCAGGCCUGCCUCGUUUGUGGGUGGGUUGACGGUAGCUGGAUAAGAAGCGCCGGCUAACUACGUG